UGGGGAAUAUUGCACAAUGGAGGGAACUCUGAUGCAGCGACGCCGCGUGAACGAAGAAGGCUUUCGAGUCGUAAAGUUCUUUUAUAUGGGAAGAUAAUGACGGUACCAUAAGAAAAAGCCCCGGCUAACUACGUGCCAGCAGCCGCGGUAGUACGUAGGGGGCUAGCGUUGUCCGGAAUCACUGGGCGUAAAGGGUUCGCAGGCGGAAAUGCAAGUCAGGUGUAAAAGGCAGUAGCUUAACUACUGUAAGCAUUUGAAACUGCAUAUCUUGAGAAGAGUAGAGGUAAGUGGAAUUUUUAGUGUAGCGGUGAAAUGCGUAGAUAUUAAAAAGAAUACCGGUGGCGAAGGCGACUUACUGGGCUCAUUCUGACGCUGAGGAACGAAAGCGUGGGUAGCAAACAGG
rnacentral:rRNA from 1 species